rnacentral:lncRNA from 1 species
CGGCACUGGGCUAGAGAGGUCGAGCGCGGCGUCUUGAGCCGCUGGCGGGAGGCUGCUGCUUCCCCGCCUGCAUCAGUGCGGGUCCCGUGGACUCCUCGCCCCCGUCCCCGCGAGCUCGGGGCUCCACAUCAAGGAAAUCCUCAGCCCGGGAGUGGCUUCCCCAGAAACAGCAGCCCCAAGCCUCCGAGAGUCAGUCGGAGAAAAGGACACACUCAGGCGCCCUGCGACAGGGAUGCCCGUCCGACCUACAAGGAACGCCUCGUAAACCGGGGUGCAUGGGAGACCACGGAAAUAACACGUUCUCGCUGUUUCCAAGCUUUGGGAUAGGCAUCUCGACCCUCGCUCUCUACCCACGUUUCCCCCCCAAAUCCUGGAGAGGGAACCAGAACCAGCGCCCCGCUGCGGGGCGGGCCGGCCAGCGCACCUCCUGGGGGUCACACCGACAAAUCUGAAGCGGGUUUGCCAGGGGAGUGUACCCGUCUCCCCAGCCUGGGCCACCCGGUCCACAGGGAUUCCAUUUCCGGCCUUACACUCCGCUCCACGAUCUCAUCCAGGCGCUGCAGCUGUGCAGCUGCUCUACAGACUGCAGGGACCUGCUGAGACGAAUCCCCGGACGAGGAAAGGGGCCCCCCGCCUGCCCUACUGAGCCUUGCGCGCUGACCCGGUUCCUACACUUAACUUUUCCGGCUUCGGGUUUAAGACGCGUGCGCGCACACUCCGCUGCUGUGGGCGGGCAUUGGGGCGGGGCGAUACCGGGGGCCCACUGUCUGGGGAGGGGCGCGCGCGAGCCCAGGGCCAACGGACGCGCGGGCGGCG